rnacentral:tRNA from 1 species
UUAGCUCAGUUGGAUAGAGCAAUCGCCUUCUAAGCGAUCGGUCGGGGGUUCGAAUCCCUCA